rnacentral:rRNA from 1 species
GACGCACGCUGGCGGCAGGCCUAACACAUGCAAGUCGAGCGGAGCGGCGGACGGGUGAGUAAUGCCUCGGACUCUGCCUGGUAGUGUGGGAUAACGUCCUGAAACGGGCGCUAAUACCGCAUCCUAUCAGAUGAGACUAGGUCGGAUUAGCUAUGUGGUGGGGUAACGGCCUACCAAGGCGACGAGCCGUAACUGGUCUGAGAGGAUGAUCAGUCACACUGGAACUGAGAAAAGUUCAAGACUCGUACGGGAGGCAGAAGUGGGGAAUAUUGGACAAUGGGCGAAAGCCUGAUCCAGCCAUGCCGCGUGUGUGAAGAAGGUCUUCGGAUUGUAAAGCACUUUAAGUUGGGAGGCGUUACCAACAGAAUAAGCACCGGCUAACUUCGUGCCAGCAGCCGCGGUAAUUC